AUUGAACGCUGGCGGCAUGCUUUACACAUGCAAGUCGAACGGCAGCACGGACUUCGGUCUGGUGGCGAGUGGCGAACGGGUGAGUAAUACAUCGGAACGUGCCCAGUUGUGGGGGAUAACUACUCGAAAGAGUAGCUAAUACCGCAUGAGAACUGAGGUUGAAAGCAGGGGAUCGUAAGACCUUGCGCAACUGGAGCGGCCGAUGGCAGAUUAGGUAGUUGGUGGGAUAAAAGCUUACCAAGCCGGCGAUCUGUAGCUGGUCUGAGAGGACGACCAGCCACACGAGGACUGCGACACGGCCCAGACUCCUACUGGAGGCAGCAGUGGGGAAUUUUGGACAAUGGGCGAAAGCCUGAUCCAGCAAUGCCGCGUGCAGGAUGAAGGCCUUCGGGUUGUAAACUGCUUUUGUACGGAACGAAAAGCUUCGGGUUAAUACCCUGGAGUCAUGACGGUACCGUAAGAAUAAGCACCGGCUAACUACGUGCCAGCCGCCGCAGUAA
rnacentral:rRNA from 1 species